AAAGCCAAUCUCAGUUCGGAUUGUAGGCUGCAACUCGCCUACAUGAAGUUAGAAUCGCUAGUAAUCGCGAAUCAGAAUGUCGCGGUGAAUACGUUCCCGGGUCUUGUACACACCGCCCGUCACACCACGAGAGUUUACAACACCCGAAGUCAGUGGCCUAACCGCAAGGAGGGAGCUGCCUAAGGUGGGGUAGAUGAUUGGGGUGAAGUCGUAACAAGGUAAC
rnacentral:rRNA from 1 species